CGACAUAUGUUUUUCCUGGAGGGAUGUGGAGUUUUAGCGCACUAUUUCAAACCUAGCUAAAACCUAGUCACGUAUUUGAGGAGUGAUAUUACUAGCAUUAGUUGAAGCACUUAAAUUCACGUUUGGUUCAGGUUACUGAGCUUUUUAAAAUCGUAACUUACUGCUAGCAUGUCAGGUUUGCUAACGUUAGCUAAGGAAGCAGAACUCCUCGUUUGACUGAAAGUUUAACGUUGAUAAGUUCCAUGGAGAGUUCAUUGGUAAAAGACAACCCAUUACUUUUACCUCUCAACAAGGAGAAAACUAUCUAUGACGGAUUUAUCACAGUACAGGAACAGGACCUCAGAUUGAGAAUUCAUCUGCCACCUGAUUGUCAGCUUAAAAAGGCCAGGUUGCACUGCAGUUGGCAGCUAAAACACCUGUUGCGUGGCUAUGAGCACAUAGUGAAGCAGAGGCUGCAGCAGUCGGCCGAUCUUGUCAGUUUCAUGCUGGAGCUGAAGACUGUGGUGGAAGUGGGUCUGAAGAGCCGUCCUGAUUGCAGCUCCAUUCCACCUCCACAGUAUUACUCGCAGCUCAUCUCUGAGAUGGAGACCCUUGGGUGGGACAAGCUGCUCUCCAUAGACACGGAGUUUCGAACACUGAGACUGAAGGCACAGGACUCCUCUGGAAGGCAGCACAUUCUCACCAUUAAACUCAAGUCUAAGCACCCUGCAGAGGCUCCCGAAUGCUCAGCUGACCUGCCGGUCCCUCUGGCCAUAACAUGGACACCACAGAGUACUCUGGAGCAGCUCCACAACCAGUUCCUGCUGGUUUUGGAUUCCCUGACAGAUUUCUGGGACGUCCUGGAUGAGAUCGACUGCAAGACCUGGAUUCUGGAGCCGGAGAAACCCAGCCGGUCCGACACCAUGAGGCGGAUCACCAUUGGAAACAACGUGUCCAUCAAAGUGGAGGUAGAUCCCAGACACCCUAAGAUGCUGCCUGAGUGCUGCCUGCUGGGAGCCGAGCACGUGGUGACGCCGCUGAGGAAUAAGCUGAACGCCAAUAUGCACAUGUGGAACCCGGACUCCAGCGUCUUGCACAACCUCCGGGAUGUUUUGGAGAUCGAAUUCCCGUCACCUGCCACCCACGAAAAAUCUGCUUUCAGCAUUGAGUGUGGGAUUUGUUACUCCUAUCGUCUUGAAGCUGCGAUCCCUGAUCAGGUGUGUAACGACCUUCGCUGUGGCCAACCCUUCCACCAGGCCUGUUUGUAUGAGGGUUUAAUUCAUGUGUCACAUGAUGGGGGCGGCAUGGUGGUGCAGCGGUUAGCACCGUCACCUCACAGCAUCAAGGUUCCCGACAUGCAGGUUAGGUUAAUGAAACUGUAAAUUGCCUGUGGGUGUGAAUGUGAGCCCUGUGAUAGACAGGUGACCUGUCCAGGGUGAACCCCACCUCUGGCUCCAGACGCCCCGCAGCUCUAACUGGAUAAACAGUACGGCUAAUGAAUGAAUGAAUCACAUAAUGGGUCGAUGUUGGAUGUUAUAUGUGUUUGAUAUGUAUAUAACAUCAAAUGUCAAUAUGAUUAUUUAACAUUAAUUUCAUAAUCCUGUGUAGAAGUAGAACUUGUGAUUUUACUGAAAUCUACUGAUUUGUCAUAUAAACAUUUCAAUACUUAUUCACUUCUGUAGGUAACUGAUCAAACCAGCUCAUUAAACUAGUUUGAUAAUAAAUGACAUGUUUAUAUUGAAGCGAAGGUAAAAGUGGAAUAUAUUUAAUACAUAUGAUGAGAAUGUAAAACUAACACAACAUAUGUCAAAGUGCUGUAAUGAAAUGACCAUGUGAUGUUCGCAGGUCAACUCUGGAACUGCAUCUCUGCAGAUAUAAAUAAAACAGUCGUACCUACGUUAACAAAGGGCUGGAGGUUACAUUUAAUAAAUCACUUGACCUCCCAGAAGAGUGCACAGACUUUCUGCUUUUAAGAGUUAAUUACUUCAUCACAGAUGCCUAGUGAUGGAUGUACACAUUACUCUCUGUGAGCUUACACGUUCCUUAAGCUUUAAUGCUGCAUCCACAUUUAAUAAAUCACCAGUUUAAACUAUUAAUUACUAAGAACUUCGGAAGGAUUUGAGCGCAGCUCAGAAGAGUCCUUAAAGAUCUUCACUCAAAGACUGGAUGCAUCCAGAGCUGAUUUAUUUGAUCCAACUGGCAUGAAAAAAGAGUCAGAUGCUGUGUUUUUAAUCAAGCAACCAUGUUCUAAAAAAUGACUGAUGUGGAUGUAGUUGUAGCAUCAUACUGCAAAAUGGAGACUUCAGUUUUCUUUACAACCACUCAUCUGGGUGACUUCAGACUUGGCGCCCCCCCUAACCCUAACUCCCCCUAACUCUAACAUAAACUGUGAUCUAACACAAAUUACAUAAAAAAAUCCUUCCAUUAUUUGGUGUAUUAUAAUAUUGAAAGGUACAUCUUUUGCUGGCGGGCGGCACGGUCGACAGUGGUCAGCACUGUCGCCUCACAGUGAGAAGGUUCUGGGCUGUGAAGUCAGCAGGUUCUCCCUGUGCGGGUUCUCUCUGGGUGCUCCGGCUUCCUCCCACAGUCCAGACACAUGCACAUUAGCUUAAUUGCUGACUGUAAAGUGCCCACAGGUGUGAAUGUGUGCAUAACUGGUUGUUUGUCUCUAUGUGUCAGCCCUGUGAUAGACUGGCGACCUCUCCAGGGUGUACCCCGCCCUCACCCAAUGUCAGCCCCCCCCCCCCGCCCGCAACCCUAUAACGAUGAGCGGUAUAGAUAAUGGAUGGAUGGAAGUUUUGAUUGCGCUUUGACAGAAGAAAACUAACUAAACUUGAAUGAACAUGAAUGAGCCACCAAAGAGUCUAAAGGAGGGGAACGCAAAGACAAAGAGAUUCAAACCUUCUUCAUUCUGACACCUAGCUACAUGAAACAGUAAUCUUAAAAUACCACAUAGAAAAGGGAACAAUUUCAAUAAGAUUCAAAUGAAUAAAAAAUAUAUACGACUAUAGAUAUUCAAUGAGCUCUUUUUAGAGCUGAGAAAGUUGAAGACAUGAAAGGUUGUGUGUAAAAGCUUCAAAUGCUUCAAUGUGUCAGAUAAUCUUGAAUAUACCAUUAAAGUGUGCAGUAAUAAGUGUACAUUGAAACAAGCGUUAUUAUCACUUGACACUGACACACCAGAUUCAAGGUAAUGAUGUGAUGAAGUAGUUCCUUUUCUUCCUUUUCCCUCAGUGGCUGCGAGCGCUGCCCUCCAGCAGGCAGAGCUUCAGCAUUGUUUUUGGAGAGUGUCCUUACUGCAGCAAGCCUAUCACAGUGAAAAUGUCAGCCCAGAAGUCCUGAGGAGUGGCUCUGGGUUCAUAUCAGCUCCAUCUUGCCCA